AUUGAACGCUGGCGGCAGGCUUAACACAUGCAAGUCGAACGAGUGGCGGACGGGUGAGUCAGGCUUGGGAAUCUGGCUUAUGGAGGGGGAUAAAGACGGGAAACUGUCGCUAAUACCGAGUACCAGAGGAUGAGCACAAGUGGGAUUAGGUAGUUGGUGGGGUAAUGGCCUACCAAGCCGACGAGCUCUAGCUGGUAUGAGAGGAUAACCAGCCAAACCGGGACUGCGACACGGCACGAAAUCCUACGGGAGGCAGCAGUGGGGAAUAUUGCGCAAUGGGGGCAACCUGACGCAGCCAUGCCGCGUGAAGGAAGAAGGCCUUGGGGUUGUAAAGUUCUUUCGGUGACGAGGCGUUAAUCACAGAGGAAGCACCGGCUAACUCAGUGCCAGCAGCCGCGGUAAUUC
rnacentral:rRNA from 1 species